UUUUUGGAGAGUUUGAUCCUGGCUCAGGAUGAACGCUGGCGGUGUGCCUAAUGCAUGCAAGUCGAACGGAGUCCCGCAAGGGACCCCGUGGC
rnacentral:rRNA from 1 species